GUCUAUGGCCAUGCUACCCUGAACAAGCCUGAUCCUGUCUGAUCUCAGAAGCUAAGCAGGGUCAGGCCUGGGUAGUAUUUGGAUGGAAGACCACCUAGGAAGACCAGGUGCUGUAGGCA
rnacentral:rRNA from 1 species